UACGGGGGGGGUAAGCGUUGUUCGGAAUUACUGGGCGUAAAGGGCUCGUAGGCGGCCAACUAAGUCAGACGUGAAAUCCCUCAGCUUAACUGGGGAACUGCGUCUGAUACUGGGUGGCUUGGAUCCGGGAGAGGGAUGCGGAAUUCCAGGUGUAGCGGUGAAAUGCGUAGAUAUCGGGAGGAACAUCAGUGGCGAAGGCGGCCCUCUGGUCCAGUACUGACGCUGAGGCGCGAAAGCGUGGGGAGCAAACAGG
rnacentral:rRNA from 1 species